rnacentral:rRNA from 1 species
UAGGGAAUCUUCGGCAAUGGACGAAAGUCUGACCGAGCAACGCCGCGUGAGUGAAGAAGGUUUUCGGAUCGUAAAACUCUGUUGUUAGAGAAGAACAAGGACGUUAGUAACUGAACGUCCCCUGACGGUAUCUAACCAGAAAGCCACGGCUAACUACGUGCCAGCAGCCGCGGUAAUACGUAGGUGGCAAGCGUUGUCCGGAUUUAUUGGGCGUAAAGCGAGCGCGGGCGGUUUCUUAAGUCUGAUGUGAAAGCCCCCGGCUCAACCGGGGAGGGUCAUUGGAAACUGGGAGACUUGAGUGCAGAAGAGGAGAGUGGAAUUCCAUGUGUGGCGGUGAAAUGCGUAGAUAUAUGGAGGAACACCAGUGGCGAAGGCGGCUCUCUGGUCUGUAACUGACGCUGAGGCUCGAAAGCGUGGGGAGCAAACAGG